GGAAGUAAAAGUAGUAACAAGGUUUCCGUAGGUGAACCUGCGGAAGGAUCAUUAUUGUAUAACCGAGGUGUGAGGGCUGUCGCUGACCCGAAAGGUCGUGCACGCCCGAGUGCCCUCACACACAUCCAUCUCACCCCUAUGUGCACCACCGCGUGGGUCCCCCUUUGGCUUGUUCGGAGGGGGGCUUACGUUUUCACACAAACUUUGUAUGCAGUGUAGAAUGUAUUUUUUGUUUUUGCGAUCACGCAAUCAAUACAACUUUCAACAACGGAUCUCUUGGCUCUC
rnacentral:misc_RNA from 1 species